UACACUUCUUUGACUGGUAGUUCUGAAAGUUAAACCCUAUCAGUCACGCACUUCAUGACGAUCUAUAGCCAUCGUCUGCUCUAUGGACCAUGGAAAACCCUACAGAAGCACUCCCAGAAACCCAGGUGAACGGCCCAGAUCCGCGGAACAACCCAGAAACCUCCGAAUCCGGUGAUGGUCUUCUCGCCGAGCUCGAGUCCCUCCGCCAGUCGCACCAGGCCCUGCUGUCGAAGUCGGCGGCAAUGGAGGAAGACUCUGAUCUCAUCCGGCAGCAGAGAGACGAUGCCCUGGCUCACAACGUCGAGCUAACCAAAGUCGUCGGAGAAAUUUCCGGCGAGAGAGAGUCGCUUCGCGACGAAAUUCAGAAGCUCGAAGGUUGUCUGAGAGAAAAGGAAGAUGGGUUUGACUCGAAAUUGGAGGAGGAGCUGAAAUUGAAGGAGGUGAUUGAAAACGAGGUGCGAGUUUGUCGGGAGACGAUUGGAAGAUUGGAGCUUGAGAGAAAGGAGAGAGAUGGGUUUUUGCUGAAGUGCUUGGAUUCGCUCCGAUCGAUCAAGGAGGGCAUAAUCGGAAUAAUCGACUGCGUCGGCGACGAAAAAGUAGGGAAUGGAACUGAAGAAGCUGAGGGGACCGGUGCGGAAUCGGAAUCCGACCCAGAAUGGAGGGCGGUUUAUGAGGAGAUUACGGCGGUUGCCCGGCUGACGGCUUCGGCGGAAGCGCAGGUGAGUGAGUAUAAAGAGCUGAGGAAGAAGGAGAAGAAGGAGUUGGAGAAUAGCGUGGUGAGUCUGACGGAGGAGAACAGAGAUAUCAGCAGCCUGCUUAGGGUUGCUCUAGCGGAGAAGGAGGCGGUGGUGAAGAGGUUGAAAGGAAGCGAGCAGAAGCGGGUGCCUAUUUUGCAGAGAGUUGGGUUUGGGUUUAUAAUGGGAAGUGGGGGCAAUGAGCAGUCGCCGGAGAAUUCGGGGAUAAGCUGGACGGUGCAGGGUCUACUGCAGGAAGUAAAUCGGAUGGCAGUGACUGUGAAGAGGGGGUUAUCAGUCUGGCCUCGACUGUAGAGAAGAUCAUGAAGAACCUGCGGCUUGAGAUCACUCAGUUGAGAAGAUCUCUGGAUGAAUCUAGGUCAGACACUGAGCGCUUGCAGAGUCUCGCGGAAAAACAAGCUCAACAAAUUUCGGAAAACACGCAGUACAUCAAGGAGUUAGAAAAUAGAGAGAGGGUGUUAACUCAAAAUGUUGAAGAACUCAUGAUCGAAAUAAAGGAAAGUGAAGCAGAGGUUGCUAGAUGGAGAGAAGCUUGCGAGCUAGAAGUUGAAGCUGGGAAAACUGAGAUAGGAGAACGUGAGAAAGUGAUCGCCAUUCUGAAGCAAGAAUUAGAGAAGACAAAAGCGGCUCUGGACAUAUCAAAUGGCAAACUGAAGAUGAAGGAAGAACUUGCAGUGACCGCGAUGGCUGCGCAGGCAGCAGCAGAGAGGUCCCUGCAGCUGGCCGAUAGCAGGGCAUCAGGACUACGGGCACGUAUAGAAGAACUAACGAAACAAGUAGAAGAAGCAGAGAGCAGAGAGCGCAACAACCGAAGGGUGAGACACAUGUGUUGGCCAUGGCGACUCCUGAAAGCUUCUAACAAUGCACAAAACAGUAUUAAGCCUGUAAAACGAUUACUACCAGAAAUGCAAGCCUUGCUUCACUAUAGCGGGUGAUAAAUCAGUUACUUUUCGGAUCAAUUCAGUUGUAUUUGUUUGAAUUUGUUUCUUCGUUUAUUUUUUAGAUGUAAAGAAACAAUUGCUUGAGUACGAUUGCAAUGUGCAGUGUUUCCUCCU